AUUGCAUUGUUCCGAGUUCAGGGUACUGGACCUGAUAAUAUGCAAUCAAUUCAAGUAGAACCUGUGGCUUCAUCAUUGAAUUCCUCAUAUUGCUACAUAUUACACAGUGGCUCCUCUGUUUUCACAUGGACUGGAAAUCUUACCAACUCUGAGGAUCAGGAACUUGUUGAGAGGCAACUGGAUCUUAUCAAGCCUGAUAUGCAGUCAAAAUUGCAAAAAGAAGGGGCAGAAUCUGAGCAAUUCUGGGAAAUAUUGGGUGGAAAAUCUGAAUAUCCUAGUGAGAAGAUUGGACGGGAUGCUGAAGGCGAUCCUCAUUUGUUUUCAUGCACUUUCUCAAAAGGGGAACUAAAGGUGACAGAGAUCUACAAUUUCAACCAAGAUGAUUUGAUGACCGAAGAUGUGUUUAUCCUUGAUUGCCAUUCAGAUAUUUAUAUUUGGGUUGGCCAGAAGGUGGAGAACAAGAAUAAAAUGCAGGCUUUAGCCAUUGCCGAGAAAUUCCUGGAAUAUGAUUUUCUUAUGGAGAAG
rnacentral:misc_RNA from 1 species